rnacentral:rRNA from 1 species
AUUGAACGCUGGCGGCAGGCCUAACACAUGCAAGUCGAACGAGUUGCGGACGGGUGAGUAAUGUCUGGGAAACUGCCUGAUGGAUGGGGAUAACUACUGGAAACGGUAGCUAAUACCGCAUACCAUCGGAUGUUCCCAGAUGGGAUUAGCUAGUAGGUGGGGUAACGGCUCACCUAGGCGACGAUCCCUAGCUGGUCUGCGUGGAUAACCAGGCACACUGGAAUUGAGACAGGGUCCAGACUCAUAGGGGAGGAAGCAGUGGGGAAUAAUGCACAAUGGGCGCAAGCCUGAUGCAGCCAUGCCGCGUGUAUGAAGAAGGCCUUCGGGUUGUAAAGUACUUUCAGCGGGGAGGCGUUACCCGCAGAAGAAGCACAGGCUAACUCCGUGCCAGCAGCCGCGGUAAUUC